rnacentral:lncRNA from 11 species
GUAAAUAAUUUAAAUUUCACGCUUUUUUGUCUUUCGUAUUGUUUAUACUUGACUAUGUUUAAGAAGUAUACUUGCUUCCCCUAAAAAGUUAAUCUAAAAUCGAUUUCAGCUAUACUAUUUUUUCCGUGUUUAGCUGACGAUGUCAGUUUGCUACAAUCACCAAGUCAACAAACGCGUUCGGAAAUUUGCUCUUGGUCGGAUGUGAUUUUGUAGGUGAAAUUGCUUAAAAAGAAAGUGUUUUUCGCGAAGUAAAUCAAGUUUACAGUUUUGCGAAAAGUGAGAAGUGUCUUUUGAGCCGUGGCACCCGAUUUCCUCCGAAUAUCAAGCGUCAUCCGUCGCGCCAUUGUGGAAUGUCCGGACCUCUGCUCCUGAAAUAACCCUGAAAAGUUUCCGGUGGUUUCAGUGUCCUAACCGGAACACCCCAGAAACCAAACGCCCCAGACGCCGACCACUUCUGAUUGAUGCACAGCAAGAAAGUGAGGGAAUCCGACAUCUGCAAAUCCAAGCACUCGCGGGCCGCCGUUGGUCAUCACUUGGUCCGUUUUUCAACCGGCGUUAACGUGCCGCUGCUCAACUACCGUAGAGUGUGCUGAGUUACUUUUGGUUUUCACUGGACAAUGCUUCCCGGACCGCCCCAGACGCCGAACCAAUUUGAACCGCACCGCCCCGGACCCUGAACCAAUGUAAACCGGAACACCCCGGACCCCGAACCAAUUUUAACCGUGCCGCCCCGGACCCCGAACUAAUUUGCACUGGAACGUCGCGGACCCCGAACCAACUUGAACCGGACCGCCUCAACACGUCAACUGCCUCUUGAUUGCUGCACAGUUCUUUCAGCAUGGACAGGUUGCCACAAGAACUUGGUCCGGAGGUCGCAGCGCAGUUAGCUGUCGGUAUACAGGCGCUCCUGAAAAUAAUGGCGGAGCUGACACACCAGGGCAACGUCCGAAAAUCAGAACCUUCAAACUUACCGCCUUUGGAGGAUUAUGCUUCAGUGUUUGUUAAAUGGAGGCAAGAAUCACCAAACGAGGAAAUGGAAGUGUCAGAAGUUCCCUUCGUUUAUUGCGAUGCGCUACCUUUCACUGAAGGAACAUAUUUCGUGGUCAUGGAGAAAGGAGCAAUCGAUUGUGGGGAAGACUUUUUCUUAGCGUUGGAUUUGCUUCUAAAGGCGUAUAAAGUGCUGAAUAUCAAUA